rnacentral:lncRNA from 7 species
GGGGUCCUUAUAGCGUCCCUAUGAGGCCCUUAGAGGGUCCUUAGGGUGUCCUUAGGGUGGUUUUGGUGUUUUAGUAGCGUGUUCUUAGCGUGUGCUUGGCGUGUGCUUGGCGUGUGCUUGGCGUGUGCUGGGGGCACUGUCCUCGGGGGGUCCUCAGGGUGUCCUUAUAGCGUCCUUAUGGUGUCGUCCUUAAUGUAUGCGUCAUACUUUAUAGCUCCUUUAGGGCUUUUUGUGGGUUUCAGGGUGUGUUAUGCGUGUUGGCCUAGACGUAGGUCCUGUCCUUAG